UAUCGGUCCCCCCGCGACGACAACCUGUGAACCCCGUCAGGCCCGGAAGGGAGCAGCGGCAGCAGCGGCGUCGGGCGCCGGGGUGCGGCCGGUACGG
rnacentral:SRP_RNA from 1 species